rnacentral:rRNA from 1 species
CUGCCGUGGGCGCUGGAGAAUUGAGGGGGGCUGCUCCUAGUACGAGAGGACCGGAGUGGACGCAUCACUGGUGUUCGGGUUGUCAUGCCAAUGGCACUGCCCGGUAGCUAAAUGCGGAAGAGAUAAGUGCUGAAAGCAUCUAAGCACGAAACUUGCCCCGAGAUGAGUUCUCCCUGAGACUAUAAGUCUCCUGAAGGAACGUUGAAGACGACGACGUUGAUAGGCCGGGUGUGUAAGCGCAGCGAUGCGUUGAGCUAACCGGUACUAAUGAACCGUGAGGCUUAACCUU